rnacentral:rRNA from 1 species
UACGUAGGUGACCAGCGUUGUCCGGAUUUACUGGGCGUAAAGAGCGCGCAGGCGGUCGUUCAAGUCGAGUGUGAAAGCCCCCGGCUCAACUGGGGGAGGGUCAUUCGAUACUGAUCGACUCGAUGGCAGGAGAGGGAAGCGGAAUUCCCGGUGUAGUGGUGAAAUGCGUAGAUAGCGGGAGGAACACCAGUGGCGAAGGCGGCUUCCGUGGC